CGCCCCUCAUCAGCCCAUAACCCCGGUCCUGCCCGCCCCUCCACCCGGCCCUCAACGUCCCCCUCCCCAGCCCGAUUUAACUUCAGUCCAUCCUUCAUUCAGUUGUAUUUGAGUGCUUACUGUGUGCAGAGCACCGUACUAAACGCUUACCAUCGAACCCCCCCAUCAGCCCGUGCCCCCCGUCCUGCUCAACCCUCGCUAUCAGCCACAGCCCUUCAGUGCUCCUCAUCUGCCCACCAUCAAUCAAUUCUAACAGUGAUCAUACAUUUUCACUCUACCCUAAGUUAUAACAGUUUAACAGCCCACCAUCCUGCCCGCCCCUCCAACGGUCAACGUCCCUCUCCCCAACCCAACCCUCUGCUCGUCCCUCGAGCCCUUCUCAUCAGCAGGUUGCCCCCACCCUGCCCAACUAUCAACGGCGCCCCCAGCCCUCAAUGGCCCAUAGCCCCCAUCUUGCCAGGUCCUCCAACAGUCCCUCAACGUACUUCUCCCCAACUCAACCCUCUGCUCGUCACUCGAGUCCUCUUCAUCAGCACGUGCCCCCCACCCCGCCCAACCUCAACGUCCCCCCCAGUCCUCCAACGCCCAUCAUCAGCCCGUGCCCCCCAUCCUGCCCACCCAUCGUCACCCCCAGUCCUCCAACGCCCAUCAGCCCGUGCCCUCCAUCCUGCCUCCCACAACGGUCCCCCCAACGUCCCCCUCCCCAACCCGACCCCUUGCUUGUCCCUCGAGCCCCCAUCAGCACGUGUCCCCCACCCUGCCCACCCCUCAACGUCUCCCCCAGCCCCUCGACGCCCCUCGACGCCCCUCCUCGGCCCGUGGUCCCUCUGGUCCCGGCCCCCGGCGGCCCUGCCCGCCCCGGCCCCGCCCCCGGCCCGGCCCCCCGAGGGCAGCAGCAUCCGCGGCCGGUCCCGUCCGGAGCCAAGUGUCCCCCGGGGCGGAGCGGGGAGCGGGGAGCGGAGCGAGGCCUCCGGGGGUUUGGGGGCCCAGGUCGUCGUGGGUCCGGGCCGUCCCCGCCCACCGGCCCCGGCCGCUACUGAGCUCCUGCCGGCCCGGCCCAACACCCUGGCCAGCAGCCGGAGGGUCCCUCCGGCCGAGAGACCCCCCAGCGCCAGGGACGGAGGGACAACCCGUCAGCCUGGGACCCCGCCGGGGGCGAGACCCCUCCUAGGGACAAGAGACCCCUCCGACUGGGCAUCUCUCCGAGGACGAGACCCCUCUGGGGACGAGACCCCUCCUAGGAGGAGACCCCUCCGGGGACGAGAUCCCUCCGGGAGGAGACCCCUCCGGCUGGGGAUCUCUCCGGGGACGAGACCCCUCCUAGGAAGAGACCCCUCCUUGGAGGAGACCCACCCCCCAAGGACCAGACCCCUCGAGGGACGAGACCCCUCCCUGGAGGAGACCCCCCCAAAGACCAGACCCCUCUGGGGACGAGACCCCUCCUAG
rnacentral:lncRNA from 1 species